GUGUCAUAACACAGUGAGAGUGAAAUUACUGCGGUGUCAUAUUCACACGCUUGUCUGCAGGGUCUCAUCAAAGUUCAUUUUAGAUUCUGUCUGGAAAAUUUAAAAUGAGUUUCCAGGUCUGUUUUUUAGACAGACGAACAGGGACUUAAAUAAAAGUGUCUGUGGCGAACUCUGAGGAGGAAUUCAGAAACACCACAGUUGAAGAGUUAAAAAGAAAACUCUUGUCUGAAGACAGCAGAUAUAAACACUGUGGACUUUACUGCAAUCACAAGCUUCUGUUUCAUGAUUGUACACUUGGCUCUCAUGGCAUUAAACAUAAUGAUGUUAUUGUGAUUGAACCACCGAUGCGUCUACAAUCUCUCUCAUCUGAAGAUGAAUGUGAAGGUGAAUUCAUAUCCAGGACUAAAUCUAUGGAGAAAUUAACUCUGAACAUGUAAAUGCAUUUGAUGCACACUGUUGAUCAGAUAAAGUGUAAUACCCAUAUAAUUUUCUUGAUUUACUGUCAACUCAAUAUAAAACACAGACGUAUAUAAUGGAGUUUGUGUUUUCAUGUGUCUCUGUACAUUCACAUGCAAAUAUUGUACAUUACUAUUUCUUUUGUUUAUGUUUAUUAUAUCAAACAUGCCCUUGACUAUUUUUAUUUUGUGAAAAGUCUGAUUUCAGUAAUCAGCUCUGAAGCUCAAAAAUAGAAACAAUACAGGAAUAAAACAUGGAACAAUAAUUUGUAAAGCCAAUAUUGUAUAAAUUGUAUUAUGUAUAAGAUUAUUUAUUUAAACUAUAAGUUAUUUCUUCAAAACAAGGCAACAAAUUAAUAUUCAGCACACAUCUGCCACAGUAUUUUCUAACCUUUUAGUUAAAGAUCCAGUGGUAUUUUAUAUUACAUUAUUUCUUAACAUUUCAUUGUAAUUGUAUGUGAAAUGAAGCAAUUUCUGAACUAGAAACAGUAGGUCACAAUGAACAACUCACCCGUACCAAAAGAAUCAUGUACUAUAGCUAAACUGUCAGGGUCAGGGACUAUUCUGUUUUUCUGUUUUCUAUUCUUAGUUUUCCCUUUUGUUCUCCUAUGCCCAUAUUUGGUUUUCCUGUUCCUGUUCCCAUUGUGUCCUCAUUAGUUUCAGGUGUGUUAGGUAUUUAGUCUCGUUUGGUUCCCUUUAUAAGUUGUAUGCCCUCAGUCUCUUGUUGUCUGAUCGCCGUUAUGUUAAGGUGUGUUUUUACUGUCUCCUGGUUUCUACGGUUUGUUUUUGUUGUAUGGUGCCCCGAUUUUGAACUUCCAAAAUGUAGUUUAAAUGCGGCUUCAAACAAUCACAAAUGCGGUUG